GUAAGAGUUGGCUUAAUAGGCUUGGGGGUACUACUGUAUACAAUAAUGAUUCUCGGGUCAGUCGGAAGCUAACAAAAGAUAUUAUUAAUGUCCGGCCAACCCGACACAAGUACCGUCAUAGCAGAAGAGCACUCACUACUGGUAGGAUUUGGGAGUGCAACAGAAAAAUGAAGCUCAAAUAUGGCGGCCACAAUACUAAUACAAGUAGUAGCAUCCACACGACGCACAGCGGUUUGAAUGCUGUAUCCUUAUUAUGCUACUAUUACUCUUCCAACAGCUGGAAAGCCGCCGUCAGCAGAAGUAGGAUUACUUUUACAACAAAUACCCGUGCUGCUGGCGGUGGUGCGCCGUCAGACUCAAAAUCAGGCUGCAGAAGAUGGAACAGGAGCCCUUCUCUACUGAUUUUGUGUUACAGUUACAGGCCCAAAUUCAGCUCUUCUUCUACUAAUGCUUCUACUAAUCGCACACGCUAUAAUAGUCCGUCUAAGUUUAAUUGGAGCAUCCCGGAUGCUUACAAAGACAGUGGCGAUGGUCCCCAUCAUACUGAUCGGCUCACUGAUAGCGACGAGGAAUUGGAUGACGCCGAUUGCGGCGGCGGCGACGUUGACACUGAGAUUCAAAAAACUGGCUACAACCGUCGGAGGAUCCAAUCCAGGGUUUCCGUUGACGCCAGCCUCCAAUCCGUCUGGAACGUCUUGACCGACUAUGAGAAAUUGGCCGACUUUAUACCGGGUCUUGCAGUCAGCCAGCUGCUCCAGAAGACGGACAAUUUUGCCCGUCUCUUUCAGAUUGGGCAGCAAAACCUGGCAUUUGGACUAAAAUUCAAAGCCAAAGGUGUCAUUGACUGUUAUGAGAAAGAAAUUCAGAAUUUACCCUUCGGUAAAAGGCGCGAUAUUGAGUUUGAGAUGAUUGAAGGUGACUUCCAACUCUUCCAAGGAAAGUGGUGCGUUGAGCAGAUCAGUACAGGAGACUAUGAUAUAGCCGAUUCUAUUAAAGGCCAAGAAUUUCAUACUAAUCUUUCUUAUAUUGUGGAUGUGGAGCCUAAAGUUUGGUUGCCCGUGCACCUUGUUCAAGGCAGACUCUGUCGGGAGAUAAAAAUGAAUCUCUUGUGUAUAAAAGAAGCAGCAGAGAGAGCAAUUCAGAACAAAGUCUCUGGUUAUGAAUGACUUACCCAUUACUUUGACUUAUGAUUUCAAGCGUGUUGUGUCAGGCAAUCUGGAUGUUGACGGUAGAUUCCACUCGUCAGCCCUACUUCUCCACAGCCCUUCGAAGAUCAAUCCUCAAACACCAAAUGGGGCUGUUGCUCACCUUUUCCAGAUGUUAUGUGGGACUCACUUGGAUGUGACUGAUCUUCUUCGGAUCACCAAAUAGGGCUGUUGCUUACCCUUUCCAGAUGUUAUAUGGGUAUCACUUGGAUUUGACUGAUUUUUUUUUUUUAUGGCUGGCAUCCCAAAGGCUCAAAUUAUAGCGUAAGAAUCCUCGUGGUACUAUCUUGAGAGGGACCACCAGUUGGCAGAGAAAUCCUGAAAAUGUGUCAAAACGGCUGUCUGCUCGGAGAAGGGCAAGGCGGGAAGUGGGUGUACCGGUUUCUCUAAAUACAGUAGUGAUGGUUGUUCAGUUGGACAUGUGGCAGUUUUGUUGAUCAGCCACCAGCAAGAAUUUUGUUGCUUUGGUUUUGAGUCCACUGACGUAUGAGCUCCUUUAGAACGAUAAUAUUGAUGGAAUAAUAGGACGUGAUGGAGAUUUGAGCUCCUAUCCUCUUCUUGAAGGAGCUCUAGAUGUUAGUAUAGUUUUGCAUGAUUCGGAAAAGCUUCCAUAUGAAGCAGAAGAAAUAAGAGAUGCCAGGAGCUUCUUCACAAUGUUAUGUGGAUGGACAAAUUUUUGUUGUGAACUCCCAGUAGUGGAACCCAGAGAGUGGAAGAGUGGAUCAAUAUGCAUCCAAGUCCAAGCACAUUGUGUGCUUUUGUAGAGGUAGGACAAUGGAGGUCAUUCUCAGUUACACAAAAGCUAUAUUAAUUCUCAUGUUUAAACUUUUGAUCUAGAGGAAUAAUUAAGCGCAAGGGUAGGACGGGGUGUUUGAGUGGUUGUAGAUUCUCUUUCUGUUUCAGGUAUAAAGAGAAUGGCCUGUUAAAAACUGAGAUAAAGGUUAAGGAAUGGAGGCCUUUUGUUAAGAUAGCUUGUCUAUUUGUCACCAUGAGAGGAGUCGCUUUGCAGACUUCCUUGGUACGGUUGAGAAUCCCAUUGUCAAAGAUCCAGAGCUUGCACCGAGGCCUGCAUUUGUCUGGUCAAGUUGACAAAUGGAUGCAUGUGCUCGUUGUCAAGAAUUUAGCGGAUAUCCAUCCAAUCCUUUACUUCUUCUCAGAAACGAGAUCAUUUGAAGUACUAGGCCUGGAUGGUAACUUGCUUGGCCUGUCCAGUUGAAUUACCAAUUAUUUGAAUGAGGAGACAUUAAUCUGAAGAUCAAAGAGUGGGGUCGUGCUGCUCUGAACUGCGGAUGAGGUAAAUGAGUUGUCUGCUCAUUUUGUAAUUCUGAAAUCUGGCUCUGACUCCAUGACCCCUAUUUAAUGUGCUACUUAUAAGUCCAGGUUUGUUUGGAUAGGGUAUUAUUUGAAAUAUUAUUUGGAAUAAUUACUGU